CUUCAUACAAUCACUGAUUAUUUAAAAAAAAAACUCAAAAAGCUUUUGGACCAUACUCUUCUUUUCUGAAAUAACUUCUGUAAAUAGUAAACCUAUUAUAGCAUAGGCAGUACUAUACCUUUUCCUCAGGGGGGAAAAUUAGAUUCACCUUUUUUCUGUCCCAAUUAUUUUCUUUUUUUUAAUUUAAUUGUAAUAACACUUAACAUGAGAUCUUCUCCCUUAAAUUUUUUCUCUACCUAAUAUAUUCAAGUUUGAGUUAGAGCAUACUUUCUACCUUAAAGUAAAAUGUUACAAGCAUUAAACAUUGAGUCACUCAUUAACAUAUAAGGACUGGACAAAGGUAGAAAGACAUUUAAGUUUUUCCUGCACAAAGGAGGCAUGUGUUAUCAUGGCUAUCACACUCCUUCAUAAAGCAACAAUAGAUCUCCUUCCGGAAACAUCAUUUUCAAAAGGAGCAGGUACCCAGCUGUAAACAUCAUGAAGGAUGUGACGGGAGGGCGGCUUCCCUCCUUUAGGAGCUGUAUAUACAUUAAUCACUGAAUCACCAAGCCAUGCUUAAUUGCAAGCUGUAUAUCACACAAAUCCAUGGAAUGCAGAAAAGGUAUUACACCACUAAUUACAGCCCACACCAGCACCCCCACCUGAGCUGCCUGAAAGAAAAACGGAACUGUCUCAGAUAUGCAGCCAUCCCAAGCUUCUGCCUCAUUGCCACUAAAUGGUGGAGCUGAUAUCCAAAGCCCUGAGACCCAUUUCUGUACUUACUAGUCAGGAAAAUAUGAUGGUGACUAUGGAGUCUGGAAAGGGGAAGCCAAGAAGCUAAGCAGAUCCAGAAGACUUGGACAAACUAAAAGCUGUCAGACUAACAACAGGGCAAAGGCAGGACUUGCGCACCAAGGCACACAGGUUUAGCAGCAAUAUGCAGAAGAAACUCAAGGUUCCCAAGUUUACCAGGUGAGAAAGACAGAAUGAAGAAAUUACAUUGACUUCAAGUCAGGAAACUUGAGUUUGCAUCCCUAUUUUGCUCCUCUCUCCAAUGCUGUAUUCUUGGGGAAAUUACCCUCCCCGGACCUCUAUGUCCUCCUCUGUAAACGUGAGAGAGUUCAUCCAGGUCACUUUUUAGAGACUUUAAGCUCAAUUAUUCUAGACCUCUUCUGUCAUCACCAAUCUGUGUACUGUUAAGCCAAUAAUGCAUUUCUUAUGUUCAGAGAAGUUUUUAUUAACUAUCUGUUGUGCAUAACAAAUCUGUUAUUAGAGCUGUUUACCAAGUAUGACUAGUCUACCCUCUUUGGAUCCCAAGGUAAGAAUGGAGCUUUGUCAUCAAUUCUGCCAAUGAGCUGUGGUAUACUUACUUGCCAACGCAAAACCCUUCAGAACACUUUCCCUUUGGCUCAGUGUCCAGUGAUAUUCAAGAUGUCAACUGCUCUGCCAUCUUAAGUCCCUGUGUGACAAAAAUGAUCAGAUUCUUUCUGCCAACCUACCAUGUACAGGAAGCAUAGCAGGAAAUAUAUCCUUAUUGUUUUACAUCUUUGAGAUUCUGGAGUUAGUUGUUACUGCAGCCUAACUUAGCCAGACCAAACUGACACAAGCAGCAGUCUGAAAUUAAAAUUACUAUUAUUGUUAUUCCCCUAUUAUUCUUGUAAUUAUGACCUAUAAUAAAAAAUGUUUUGGGGGUGCCUGGGUGGCUCAGUUGGUUAAACGUCUGACUCUUUGUUUUGGCUCAGGACAUGAUCUUGUGGUUCCUGAG